CCUACGGGCGGCUGCAGUGGGGAAUAUUGCACUAUGGGCGCAAGCCUGAUGCAGCCAUACCGCGUGUGUGAAGAAGGCCUUCGGGUUGUAAAGCACUUUCAGCGGGGAGGAAGGCGGUGAGGUUAAUAACCUCAUCGAUUGACGUUACCCGCAGAAGAAGCACCGGCUAACUCCGUGCCAGCAGCCGCGGUAAUACGGAGGGUGCAAGCGUUAAUCGGAAUUACUGGGCGUAAAGCGCACGCAGGCGGUCUGUCAAGUCGGAUGUGAAAUCCCCGGGCUCAACCUGGGAACUGCAUUCGAAACUGGCAGGCUAGAGUCUUGUAGAGGGGGGUAGAAUUCCAGGUGUAGCGGUGAAAUGCGUAGAGAUCUGGAGGAAUACCGGUGGCGAAGGCGGCCCCCUGGACAAAGACUGACGCUCAGGUGCGAAAGCGUGGGGAGCAAACAGGAUUAGAUACCCUUGUAGUC
rnacentral:rRNA from 1 species